UGUUCGAGCGUCAUUACAAACCUCAAGCCUGGCUUGGUGUUGGGCCCCGUCCGACCGCGACGGGCUCAAUAAUCAGUGGCGAUCCCGCCCGGCUUCAAGCGUAGUAAAUCUAUGUCGCUUUGGAGGUCGGUCGGCGACCUGCCGGACAACCCAUUAUCACGUUUGACCUCGGAUCAGGUAGGGAUACCCGCUGAACUUAA
rnacentral:misc_RNA from 1 species